rnacentral:rRNA from 1 species
AGAGUUUGAUCCUGGCUCAGAAUCAACGCUGGCGGCGUGCCUAACACAUGCAAGUCGAACGCGAAAGCCCCGCAAGGGGUAAGUAGAGUGGCAAACGGGUGAGUAACACGUGGGUGACCUGCCUUCGAGUGGGGGAUAACGUCCCGAAAGGGACGCUAAUACCGCAUGACAUCCUGCCUUUAGACAGGCGGAGAUCAAAGCCGGGGAUCGCAAGACCUGGCGCUUGGAGAGGGGCCCGCGUCUGAUUAGCUAGUUGGUGAGGUAACGGCUCACCAAGGCAACGAUCAGUAUCCGGCCUGAGAGGGCGGACGGACACACUGGGACUGAGACACGGCCCAGACUCCUACGGGAGGCAGCAGUGGGGAAUUGUUCGCAAUGGGCGCAAGCCUGACGACGCAACGCCGCGUGGAGGAUGAAGAUCUUCGGGUCGUAAACUCCUGUCGAGCGGGAAGAACGUUCCGCGGGUGAAUAACUCGCGGAAGUGACGGUACCGCUAAAGGAAGCCCCGGCUAACUCCGUGCCAGCAGCCGCGGUAAUACGGGGGGGGCAAGCGUUGUUCGGAAUUACUGGGCGUAAAGGGCUCGUAGGUGGCCAACUAAGUCAGACGUGAAAUCCCUAGGCUUAACCUGGGAACUGCGUCUGAUACUGGAUGGCUUGAAUUCGGGAGAGGGAUGCAGAAUUCCAGGUGUAGCGGUGAAAUGCGUAGAUAUCUGGAGGAAUACCGGUGGCGAAGGCGGCAUCCUGGACCGAGAUUGACACUGAUGAGCGAAAGCUAGGGGAGCAAACGGGAUUAGAUACCCCGGUAGUCC